GUUUAAAUCCCUAACCGCUACAAUGUAGAAUAUAAAAAAAUAUAAAUUGCACUUAGAACCUAUAAAUAAAGUUGACGAAGCAUAGGCACAGAAUUCGCAGGACAACCUAGGAUCCGCAGAUUGGUAUUCAUGUACCGGUAUCGGUACUUAUGCGAAUUAGUUCACCAGAAUUCUUCAAGAAUUUGCAUGAAACAAAGUACCAGCAAACCAUUUUGAAUGAACAAAUAUAUGCCCCGGUAAAAUUUAUAGAUAUACAUCUAAACUAAUUAACUGACUUUGGUGUGUGCAUCACAGGUCCCACCAGUUCAAAGCUAUCCAAUGCAUAUUAAAGGCUGGUCGUACAACGUUUAUUCAUAAUGAAAUCUGCCUCUCAAUGUGAGCUAAAUUUUCAAUGUUGGACUACUGACUAACAUAUAUCUAUAUAUGACAAACCAUACUUGUUAUAUCUCUAUGUUAGCUAUAAUUUCCGAUGUGGGCUGCUAAUUUGUACUCACAGCCUACCAGCGUACGACAAACCUAAAUAGCUUUUCCGAAUUCUAUAAAAGUUCCAGACCGCAUACCCGAAUCCAUACCACAUACAUAAGCAAAUUACAAAUUGUAUGACUAUGUGUGAAGCAUCAAGUAUAAACAAUCAUUUCAUACAUAUCCAUUAUAAUAACUAUCUAAUCACUGCUUUUCUACAAAACUGUUGGAUUCUACCAACAACAACAACUCAAUAACACAUGAAAUCAGAAACGCAACCAAACAAACAAAUUAAGCAAAAAAUUAAACCUGGUGUUUGGUAAGGCGUC
rnacentral:lncRNA from 1 species